rnacentral:rRNA from 1 species
AUUAGGUAGUUGGCGGGGUAAAGGCCCACCAAGCCUGCGAUCAGUAACUGGUGUGAGAGCACGACCAGUCACACGGGCACUGAGACACUGCCCGGACACCUACGGGUGGCUGCAGCAACGAAUAUUCCGCAAUGGACGCAAGUCUGACGGAGCGACGCCGCGUGGAGGAUGAAGUCCUUCGGGAUGUAAACUCCAAUAGUUUGUCAGGAAGUAACCCGGGUUAAUAUCCCGGGAAGUUGACCAGCAAAUGAAAGGGGCGGCUAACUCCGUGCCAGCAGCCGCGGUAAGACGGAGGCCCCGAGCGUUGUUCGGAAUUACUGGGCUUAAAGCGCGUGUAGGCGGGUCGGUAAGUGCCUUGUGAAAUCCCCGGGCUCAACCCGGGAAUUGCUCGGCAUACUGCCGGUCUUGAGGCAGGUAUGAGUCGCUGGAACCUUAGGUGUAGCGGUGAAAUGCGUAGAUAUCUAAGGGAACGCCGGUGGCGAAAGCGGGCGACUGGGGCCUGUCCUGACGCUGAGACGCGAAAGCGUAGGGGAGCAAACGGGGAUUAGAUACCCCCGGUAGUCUACGCCGUACACGAUGCGCACUAG